GCACAAUGGGCGAAAGCCUGAUGCAGCAACGCCGCGUGCGGGAUGAAGGCCCUAGGGUUGUAAACCGCUUUCAGCAGGGAAGAAAAUGACGGUACCUGUAGAAGAAGGUGCGGCCAACUACGUGCCAGCAGCCGCGGUGACACGUAGGCACCAAGCGUUGUCCGGAUUUAUUGGGCGUAAAGAGCUCGUAGGCGGUUCAGUAAGUCGGGUGUGAAAACUCUGGGCUCAACCCAGAGACGCCACCCGAUACUGCUGUGACUAGAGUGCGGUAGGGGAGCGGGGAAUUCCUAGUGUAGCGGUGAAAUGCGCAGAUAUUAGGAGGAACACCAGUGGCGAAGGCGCCGCUCUGGGCCGUAACUGACGCUGAGGAGCGAAAGCGUGGGUAGCAAACAGGAUUAGAUACCCUGGUAGUCCACGCCGUAAACGUUGGGCACUAGGUGUGGGUCUCAACCAACGAGAUCCGCGCCGUCGCUAACGCAUUAAGUGCC
rnacentral:rRNA from 1 species